rnacentral:ncRNA from 1 species
GGCCAAGUUUUUAAGGGCGCACGGUGGAUGCCUUGGCACCAGGAACCGAUGAAGGACGUGGGAGGCCACGAUAGUCCCCGGGGAGCUGUCAACCAAGCUUUGAUCCGGGGGUUUCCGAAUGGGGAAACCCGGCAGUCGUCAUGGGCUGUCACCCGCUGCUGAACACAUAGGCAGUGUGGAGGGAACGCGGGGAAGUGAAACAUCUCAGUACCCGCAGGAAGAGAAAACAACCGUGAUUCCGGGAGUAGUGGCGAGCGAAACCGGAUGAGGCCAAACCGUAUGCGUGUGAGACCCGGCAGGGGUUGCGUGUGCGGGGUUGUGGGAUCUCUCUUUCACAGUCUGCCGGCUGUGAGACGAGUCAGAAACCGUUGAUGUAGGCGAAGGACAUGCGAAAGGUCCGGCGUAGAGGGUAAGACCCCCGUAGUCGAAACGUCAACGGCUCGUUUGAGAGACACCCAAGUAGCACGGGGCCCGAGAAAUCCCGUGUGAAUCUGGCGGGACCACCCGCUAAGCCUAAAUAUUCCCUGGUGACCGAUAGCGGAUAGUACCGUGAGGGAAUGGUGAAAAGUACCGCGGGAGCGGAGUGAAAUAGUACCUGAAACCGUGUGCCUACAAGCCGUGGGAGCGUCGGACGUCAAGCUUGCUUGGCGUCUCGUGACUGCGUGCCUUUUGAAGAAUGAGCCUGCGAGUUUGCGGUGUGUUGCGAGGUUAACCCGGGUGGGGUAGCCGUAGCGAAAGCGAGUCCGAACAGGGCGUUUCAGUAGCACGCUCAAGACCCGAAGCGGAGUGAUCUAGCCAUGGGCAGGUUGAAGCGGAGGUAAGACUUCGUGGAGGACCGAACCCACCAGGGUUGAAAACCUGGGGGAUGACCUGUGGUUAGGGGUGAAAGGCCAAUCAAACUCCGUGAUAGCUGGUUCUCCCCGAAAUGCAUUUAGGUGCAGCGUCGUGUGUUUCUUGCCGGAGGUAGAGCACUGGAUAGGCGAUGGGCCCUACCGGGUUACUGACCUUAGCCAAACUCCGAAUGCCGGUAAGUGAGAGCGCGGCAGUGAGACUGUGGGGGAUAAGCUCCAUGGUCGAGAGGGAAACAGCCCAGAGCAUCGACUAAGGCCCCUAAGCGUACGCUAAGUGGGAAAGGAUGUGGAGUCGCAGAGACAACCAGGAGGUUGGCUUAGAAGCAGCCACCCUUGAAAGAGUGCGUAAUAGCUCACUGGUCUAGUGAUUCCGCGCCGACAAUGUAGCGGGGCUCAAGCGUACCGCCGAAGUCGUGUCAUUGCAGCAAUACGGCCAACGCCGGCUGUGAUGGGUAGGGGAGCGUCGUGUGCCGGGUGAAGCAGCCGCGGAAGCGAGUUGUGGACGGUUCACGAGUGAGAAUGCAGGCAUGAGUAGCGAUACAAACGUGAGAAACGUUUGCGCCGAUUGACUAAGGGUUCCUGGGUCAAGCUGAUCUGCCCAGGGUAAGUCGGGACCUAAGGCGAGGCCGACAGGCGUAGUCGAUGGAUAACCGGUUGAUAUUCCGGUACCCGCUGUGAAGCGUCAAACAUCGAGCAUCGUGAUGCUAAGGCCGUGAAGCCGCCCUGAUCUCUUCGGAGUUGAGGGGAGUGGUGGAGCCGCCGAACCAAGCGGUUAGUAGGUGAGUGAUGGGGUGACGCAGGAAGGUAGUCCAUCCCGGGCGGUGGUUGUCCCGGGGUAAGGGUGUAGGCCGGUGUGUAGGUAAAUCCGCACACCUUGAGUCUGAGACCUGAUGCCGAGCCGAUUGUGGUGAAGUGGAUGAUCCUAUGCUGUCGAGAAAAGCCUCUAGCGAGUUUCAUGGCGGCCCGUACCCUAAACCGACUCAGGUGGUCAGGUAGAGAAUACCGAGGCGUUCGGGUGAACUAUGGUUAAGGAACUCGGCAAAAUGCCCCCGUAACUUCGGGAGAAGGGGGGCCACACCUGGUGACGAGUUNGUCAGAACCACACCAGCCUUGAUGCUGGGUGGGCUCAUUAGUGGAUGCUGGCUGGCAUGACGGCUUAUUGCCGGCGAUGUGAGUACUGCUCUUCGGAGCGUGGAAAGGAUCGUUGGGGGUUGGCUGA